GAUGAACGCUGGCGGCGUGCCUAAUACAUGCAAGUCGAGCGAACAGACGAGGAGCUUGCUCCUUUGACGUUAGCGGCGGACGGGUGAGUAACACGUAGGUAACCUACCUAUAAGACUGGGAUAACUUCGGGAAACCGGAGCUAAUACCGGAUAAUAUUUCGAACCGCAUGGUUCGAUAGUGAAAGAUGGCUUUGCUAUCACUUAUAGAUGGACCUGCGCCGUAUUAGCUAGUUGGUAAGGUAACGGCUUACCAAGGCAACGAUACGUAGCCGACCUGAGA
rnacentral:rRNA from 1 species